rnacentral:tRNA from 1 species
GCGAGUAUAGCUCAGCUGGUAGAGCAUCUGGUUCCCAACCAGAGGGUCGUGAGUUCGAAUCUCAUUACUCGCU